rnacentral:misc_RNA from 1 species
CUGGCGUCCCUCUUCGAGUGUCUGAAUUUCAAAUUGUUGCUGAUCGCGACGCGACGGUGUGAGCUCGAGAUUUUCUUUCCCAUAUUCUACGGGAAUUAUACAUAGAAAUAUUUCGCUAGCUGCAGUCCGCAGCCCCAGCUAGCUAUACAUAUACCCAAAGAAGUGAAGAAAGACCAUUAAUUGCUUUCAGGGUGAAAAAAAAAGGUCAAACCCGUCCCCAGCCCAGGUCUUAUACGAAUAUACAGAUAUAUAGAUUUUCCCGCCAUCUUUAUAAUACAAAAUCACCACUGCACCAAGUUAACGAGUUCACGGGGGAGUGCGCGAAAAAGGGAAAACUUAUAAAUGAAAAAAAUGGCGCAAUACCAGCAGCAGUAACGCGGCAGCCAGCAGCAGUUCAAGCGUAUUACAUAAUUAACGAGACGUUAAUUAAUAUACGUGCAGGUACCAAUGAAUGAUAUCGAUCAG